UCGGCGUCCCGCGGCUGCCUCCGGGAACAGUUCAGCACCCGGAGCCCGGGGAGGAACGCGGGCCUGGCCCUGGGGGGCGGGGGGGGGGGGGCCCGCGCCCGCGCGCCCCCGCCCGGCCCCACGUUACUUUGAUUGACAGCCCGGCCCCGCCGCUCUCCUUCCCACCGACCUUCCCAUCGGGGGGGCCAAUCUCGGCGUCUCGCCUCUUCCCAUUGGCUGCUUUCCGGCCCGUCCCGCCCGCGCGCGCCCGCGCCCGCGCCCGCGCGCCCCCGCCCGGCCCCACGUUACUUUGAUUGACAGCCCGGCCCCGCCGCUCUCCUUCCCACCGACCUUCCCAUCCACGGUGCCAAUCUCGGCGUCUCGCCUCUUCCCAUUGGCUGCUUUCGGCGUCCCGCGGCUCCUCCGGGAACAGUUCCUCACCGAGCCNNNNNNNNNNGGGGCGGCCCGCGCAGCGCUGCGCUACCAUAGGCUGCGGGGAGGCGUCGCGUCAGCGCCCCACGUUGGGCGCCCGCGCGCGAUUGGCUGGCGCGCGCUGCCCCGCCCCCCGCGGCCUCCCGGACCCACGUCCCCCGCCGGCUCUGCGCUCCCGCCCCCGCCCGCGCGGGGCUGGGCGGGGCCGGCGCUGGUUAGCUCCGGAGUGUGAAACCGCGUGUUAAUGUAACCGGCGCGAGAGGCGCGGGCGGCGGCGGCGGGAGCGGCGGCGGCAGGAGCAGCGGCAGCGGCGAGCACCCUGCGCCCCGCGUCCCCGGGGCGACCGCCGGCGCCACCCCCACCCGCUCACGGCCGGCCCGCGGCGACCAAACCCCCGCCGCGACUACUCCGGACCCGCCCGCGGAGUUUGCCCGCCGGGGAGGGAGGCCGCGCGGCGGAACGCGCUCCUGCUCUUUUCUCCACCGCCUCGCGGAUGUCGCCCCCCCAGUCGUGAGAGAACUUUGCGGCGGGCUGGAGCGCCCUGUGCCAAGAGGCGGACGAAGGGAAGGAAAGAAAGAGGGCCCAGGCCGGGGCUCGGAGCGAGAGUCCGGAGCGCCCGGGCCGGCCGGGUGGGGCGAGCGCGCGCGGGGCGCGGCGCCCGGAUGCGCCCGGGGCUCGCGGGGGAGGGAGGGGAAACUCCAUUUUUCCCUUUAUUUUUGCCCCCCCCCCCCCCCAGUUGAUGUCUAGACGGGCGGGCGGGGGCUCCCGGGGGCGCUGGGGUUCUUUCCCGGAGCGAUUUCUCCGUCCACCCCACCCCCUUGCCGAGACGGGUAGGACGCCCCCCCCUUUGUUUCUCGUCUCGCCUAUUUACAUGUCAAUGCGGCCCCCGCUCCGGCGCGCCCGGAGGUGGCCCCGCGUCUCUGGGAACGCGGAGCGUUAGGCUGUUGUUUUUCUUCUCUGGUCCCCGGGGUCAUUAUCGCCCCCGUGGGGAGGGGGCGGGGGCAACGACGACGAUUUGGCCUGGUUUUCCCCGGCCGCCGGGAGCCCCGUCCCUACAGCCUGUGACCCGGGCGCACGCACCGAGCACCGAGGAGGCUCCAGGCCGGGCGAGGGUCCGCUUUCUCCUUCCAUCAAGCGCAGAGCAAACUCGAGUUCAGGGCUCGGUUUUCCGCCACUUCUAACUUUAUUUUUUGUUUACGUCCCGCCCACUUGUGCUUCCUCUGCCUUCAUUGUUUGUCUGUCUCCCCGCAUCCCUGUGCCUCGAUUC
rnacentral:lncRNA from 12 species